AUGGGUCAUGGGAUGCGUAUUUCAGAUGAUAAUCUGUGAUUAACACAUUAUUGUAUAGUCUUUCGCUCCUAUCUGAUGACCCAU